CUUUUCGAGGUAGGAGUCGACUCCUGUGAGGUAUGGUGCUGGGUGCAGAUGCAGUGUGGCUCUGGAUAGCACCUUAUGGACAGUUGUGUCCCCAAGGAAGGAUGAGAAUAGCUACUGAAGUCCUAAAGAGCAAGCCUAACUCAAGCCAUUGGCACACAGGCAUUAGACAGAAAGCUGGAAGUUGAAAUGGUGGAGUCCAACUUGCCUGGACCAGCUUAAUGGUUCUGCUCCUGGUAACGUUUUUAUCCAUGGAUGACUUGCUUGGGUAUGGAGAGUCGGCUUGACUACACUGUGUGGAGCAAGUUUUAAAGAAGCAAAGGACUCAGAAUUCAUGAUUGAAGAAAUGCAGGCAGACCUGUUAUCCUAAACUAGGUGAGUCAGCUUUUGGUACAUGUGAUGAUUUUCAGUGUAACCAAUGAUGUAAUGAUUCUGCCAAAUGAAAUAUAAUGAUAUCACUGUAAAACCGUUCCAUUUUGAUUCUGAGGUUACUCUACUAACAAGCAUCACACAUUUGUAUUUUGCCCUGAUUAAUAUGUUGGCUUCGCUUUCAGGGUUUUUAAUGACCACAACAAGCAAGCAUGCAGCUUACUGCUUGAAAGGGUCUUGCCUCACCCAAGCUAGAGUGCAGUGGCCUUUGAAGCUUACUACAGCCUCAAACUUCUGGGCUCAAGUGAUCCUCAGCCUCCCAGUGGUCUUUGUAGACUGCCUGAUGGAGUCUCAUGGCACAAGAAGAUUAAAACAGUGUCUCCAAUUUUAAUAAAUUUUUGCAAUCCA
rnacentral:lncRNA from 1 species